rnacentral:tRNA from 1 species
AAAUAAGAAACAAAUUUUGUAUUUAGUUUCGACCUAAAAAUAGGCCUAGGGGGGCCCUUAUUUA